UCCGUAGGCGGGCAAUUAAGUCAGAGGUGAAAUCCCACAGCUCAACUGUGGAACUGCCUUUGAUACUGGUUGUCUUGAGUUACAGUGAAGUAGAUAGAAUAUGUAGUGUAGCGGUGAAAUGCAUAGAUAUUACAUAGAAUACCGAUGGCGAAGGCAGUCUACUAACUGUAUACUGACGCUAAUGGACGAAAGCGUGGGGAGCGAACAGGAUUAGAUACCCUGGUAGUCC
rnacentral:rRNA from 1 species